rnacentral:rRNA from 1 species
GACGAAGGUGGCAAGCGUUGUUCGGAUUCACUGGGCAUAAAGGGCGCGUAGGCGGUUCCGAAAGUGGCCUGUGAAAUCCCCCGGCUCAACCGGGGAAGUGCGGGCCAAACUUCGGUCCUUGAGGCUGGGAGGGGAGACUGGAACUCUCGGUGGAGCGGUGAAAUGCGUAGAUAUCGAGAGGAACACCGGUGGCGAAGGCGAGUCUCUGGUCCAGCUCUGACGCUGAGGCGCGAAAGCGUGGGUAGCAAAC